CCCUGUUUUAGAUAGACUUAGUUGAAGAUUCUUGCAAGAAAAUCAAAUCCUUAAAAGAAAAGUAAUCCAAAAUGUUUUUUUCUUCCUAAUAUACAGACCAUACACCAGCCUCCCUAUACACGGAAAAAUAAAUUGAACUUUUUCUUUGUGGCGUGAUUGCGAACUCAAGAAAAAGAGCGAGAGAGAGUUAAAAAAUUAACCUCAUUUUAUUCAGAAGCACUUUUCCCAACGAUAAGGUAUCCGGUUCGCUGUACGCUCUUUUUCUAAAUGAAGCCACAGAUUUCAUUUUCAUUCUUAAGUAUCAGGAGGCAACAAAAAGGUAACAAAAAUAAGAAGGUCAGACGAAGAGAAAAAAGUGACGCGCUUCUUAAAUUGUAAUCGAACUUGGACGAAAUCUGGGUUGAUCGUCACCUUUAAGUCCCUCACUGUUUUCACGGUCACUGCCAUUGAAAUCGGUUUCAUUGUUCGCAUUGGUUGAUGCUUUUUUUCCUGAUCACAGUGUGUUAGUGGAUUAUCAAAACUCACUUGCGAUUUUCUUUUCUUUCGGAUAUUUAGCUUCGUACCUGCACCAAAGUUUUGAAUGACGGAAAAAUGAAAGGGCUAUGCUCAUUCCUGGCAUUCUUCUUUAUUCUGCAAGUUUUGAGAGUUAAAUGCUUUCAAAAAGUCAUAACAGAACAAGAAGCAAGUACACUUAGACCAGGAAGGCUUUUUGUGCAAGUUCUCACUGAACCAGAAAAUCUUAUUAGGCUGUUCGAAGGUUUAAAUCUUUCUUUUCAAAUGCUGCGUCAUAUAGGUAGAACUGGUCCUGCACUUAUGCGUUUAUCUUUUGACAGAGAAUUCCUACUUGCACCAAAUGAUCAAAUUGGAUUAGAUCAUUGGAAAAGACCCUAUUAUGCUCGUAUGCCUACUAUGUUUUCUCAAGAAGCACCACGAUACAUUAGAGUUCCUGCAAAUAAUAACUGGUUGACGGAAUCCAAUAUUUUAGUGCCAACAUAUAAUUAAACGAUAAAAAGGAACCACAUUACCAGUUUUCUCUAUUGUGGAUGUUGAAAAAACUAAAACAAGUGUAUUUAAUAGUUUAUGUUUAAACAUGAACUAUUAAAUACAUGAACUCACUCCUCUUGUGUUCAUUUUAGGAUUUGUUAUUACCAUCCACUGAAGCGAUACUUUUAACGUUUAAAAUUGGAGAAAUUGAAGCAUUAGUAUGUUAUAUAAAGGAUGUCGAUACAUUUUUGGAUUUUUAUCAUUUAUUUUUUUAAAAUGCCUCGAUCUAUGGCGGCUUUUGAUUUUAUCAAUGUCUUUCCAAGAGGCAAAUUAAAUUAUUUCUUCAACUUAAUCGAAUAAUAAACAUAAGAGCAAGGCAGAGUCGAUUUUAAAACUGUCACUAGUCGAAUCAUAUUUAAACAGAAGACAGUUCUGGAAACUCAAGCAGCAAAUCAUUCGCCAGCUCUAAGCAAUUUCACUUCUCUAUCCAACCUUCAGCAUCUUAGCUACAACAGACUAUUUACAUAAUCAGGAAUCAAGCAAAAACAUGUUUGGUAAUUUCCCGUCUGGGAUGAGAAAAGCAAAAUAACUGGUCUAAGAGACCAUAAGAUAUAUCUAACUAAAGAAUAAUUUACGCAACAUUAAUGCUAACAAAAAAAUCACAUUAAACUGCAGAUGAUUUAUAUUUAUAAAGUGCUAAAGAAUUGGUGGUGUAGUCAUCUAUGGCAAUGCAGACUGACAUUACCCUACAUGACUGUGCUACCUGGUGACAUGCAGCAGGAUGCAAAAGAAAACCCAAUGUACAAAAACAAAUUAAGAACAUUGCAAAUGACAAGAAGUGCUUUGAAGCUAAUAAUGUUUGUUUAUAGAGUGACUAACCUUUAUGUUGCUUAAAAUUAUGUUAGUGUAUUGUUGCAUAGCUGUUUUACUUUCUGUAAUAAUUUUUUUUAUAGAAUCCUACAAAAAAGAUUACUAUGAUUUAAUUGAGUAACUCUCUAAUAUAUCUGUAAACCAUUUACAUGAAAAUAGUUGUUGCAAAUCAAAAGUUAAUAAGGGUGAACAUAACAGCUGUACUUAGCUGCAACUGAAGAACAGGGUACAUCAAAGGAAUUUCAAGAUGCUCCACUGAGUUAACAUCAAAAGAAAUAGUGAUUUAAAUAAUUUAUUUGAAACUUUUUCUAAAACUAAUUGUUUAUGGAAGUAUUUUGUUUUGAAUGUGUAAAACUGUUUGACUACACAGAGUGUGGACUAAAUGUAUAUACAGCAGCCUUUUGUUAUUAUGGCAUACUUUAAUACUGUCAUGCAAUAUAAAAAUCAAAUUUGUAUUUUCAUAUAUAUUUGGCUUUUUUGUAUAAGCUACUUAUUGCAAAAAAAAAGUUUCCAAAGAUAAAUUUUGUUUUAUCAGA